rnacentral:lncRNA from 1 species
GUCAGAACCAAUAGAUCUCUCAGAACUGGAAGCUGAUGAGGCAGAAGUGGCACAUCUGCGGCCCCACCAGGAAAUGAAGAUGGAGAUAGAAGAACAAUGGCAUCCACUCCAGAACUGUUUAUACGUCACUGAAAAUAAGACAUCUGAACUUAAAACCAUCGGGCACUUUGCAUUAUCACCUACCACCAUGAUAACUCCUUUUCAGAUUUCAAAUGUCCCCUUCUUAGGUCUCAUGCAUGGCAGAAUCGAGGAAUUUAUCGGCUCCACACCCUUUUUCUCCAGGCCCAGGCAGCGUUACAUUUCGUGCCAGAAAACUGUGUCUACUGCUGUACUGCAAACAAACAACAGACGCUCCAUCAAUGCCCAGCAGCUGAUGGCUGGCCAUGAAUGACCACAGAUGCUGAUGAAAUGCUUGUAACAGCAGAUUAUCCAUUAGGAUAAUGGCAUGCCUUGUGGGAACUAAAGCACGGCACGAAGCUUAUUAAAGUCUUUAAACAUCUGCCAUCAGAGGAGAGGAUUUUUUGAAACUAGUGGUUUAGAAGAGGCAGAGGUGGCUUGUUAAGAAAAAGAAGAGGAGGUAGAACCACAGGAAAGGAAAAGGAAGAGGAAGAGGAAAAGGAAGAGGAAGAGGAGGAGAAUCUGGCUGCUCAAAGCAGCCAGGAUAGGAAUGAGAGACCAGCAACAAACCCCACAAUGGAGUCUUGUCAAGAAGAGUUGCUUUAACAAGGAGAAUUGCUGAAGCCGACUGAAUUAGUUACCAAGGGACCUGCCAGAUACAGAGUCCAUGGUUUUAGGAACUUGUACAUAGUAUAUGUAUUACAAAGAGAGUUCUGUGAGAAGUGCAGCUACAGAAGCAUCUCUGCUCACUGACACUGGAGAAUUCACGCAGAGGAAAGGAAUGCUCACUAGAAGGAAUGCAGUUUUAGACAAACCAGAACUUUGGAUCUCUUACCACACUGUAUAUUCACACAGAACAUUAUAGAAAUUUUAUGAAGAGCUGAAACAACAAAGGAAUCUUUUCUAACUCCAGUCUUGGGCCCAUGAUGGGAUGGACUCUGUGGAUUUGAUCACAGACCAGAUUCUGAGGCACAUCCUAAAACAUACACAGUUCCCAACAGGGUCCUCGUGGGGACCAGACAGCUCUGGCUGUGUGUGUAUGUGGGGAAGCUUGAAUUCUCUGCUCAUUUUUGCUUCUGCUUCUCUCAUAUUUUCCUCUAGAGUGUGGUGGUGUCAAGUACUAGACUGGUUAUCACUGUCUUGCUUUUAACCCUAACCCAACUCCGUGACCAGGAAUUCAAAUGUCACCAUAAUGUACCAGUUUAGACUUUAGAACCUGACAUUUGCCUGACCCGUAAGCUCCUGGUCAUGGGACUGGAGGCACUUAAUUUCUCAAGGCC